AUGGCGGCCCGCGGGAAUUGAUUAGAGUUUGAUCAUGGCUCAGAUUGAACGCUGGCGGAAUGCUUUACACAUGCAAGUCGAGCGGCAGCACGGGGGCAACCCUGGUGGCGAGCGGCGAACGGGUGAGUAAUACAUCGGAACAUGCCAGUCGUGGGGGAUAACACUUCGAAAGAAGUGCUAAUACCGCAUACGUCCUGAGGGAGAAAGCGGGGGAUCGAAAGACCUCGCGCGAUUGGAGUGGCCGAUGUCAGAUUAGCUAGUUGGUGGGGUAAAGGCCUACCAAGGCAACGAUCUGUAGCUGGUCUGAGAGGAGGAUGAGCCACACUGGGACUAAGACAGGGCCCAGACUCCUACGGGAGGCAGCAG
rnacentral:rRNA from 1 species